rnacentral:rRNA from 1 species
CAAAUGAAUAGACGGGGGCCCGCACAAGCGGUGGAGCAUGUGGUUUAAUUCGAUGCAACGCGAAGAACCUUACCAGGUCUUGACAUCCAACGAACCUUUACGAAAGUAGGGGGUGCCUUCGGGAGCGUUGAGACAGGUGGUGCAUGGUUGUCGUCAGCUCGUGUCGUGAGAUGUUGGGUUAAGUCCCGCAACGAGCGCAACCCUUGCUAUUAGUUGCUAACAUUUAAGGUGAGCACUCUAAUGGGACUGCCUGUGACAAGCAGGAGGAAGGUGGGGACGACGUCAAAUCAUCA